rnacentral:rRNA from 1 species
ACAAGCAGCGGAGCAUGUGGUUUAAUUUCGAAGCAACGCGAAGAACUUACCAAGACUUGACAUCCCCUGACAGCUGUUGAAAGGCAGUGUCUCUUCGGAGCAGGGAGACAGGUGGUGCAUGGUUGUCGUCAGCUCGUGUCGUGAGAUGUUGGGUUAAGUCCCGCAACGAGCGCAACCCUUAUCCUUAGUUACCAGCACGUAAAGGUGGGGACUCUAGGGAGACCGCCGGGGACGACUCGGAGGAAGGUGGGGACGACGUCAAAUCAUCAUGCCCCUUAUGUCUUGGGCUACACACGUGCUACAAUGGCCGCAACAGAGGGAAGCGAGAGCGCAAGCUGGAGCAAAACCCUAAAAAGCGGUCCCAGUUCGGAUUGUGGGCUGCAACCCGCCCACAUGAAGUCGGAGUUGCUAGUAAUCGCGAAUCAGCAUGUCGCGGUGAAUGCGUUCCCGGGCCUU